rnacentral:lncRNA from 1 species
CUCGUCUACCAACGAGAGGCUCCGCCUGGGGGCAGAGCGGCCUCGCGUCCCUGGAGGUCCACGGUGGUCGCGCGGGGGCGGGGGCCCAAGGACAUCUCCUGUGCGUGGGGGGCGCCACUUUUCCAGCGGGAAGGUCGGGGUGCAGGAGGGUGUUGCCUCUGGAGGCUUUGGCUUUCCUCAUUACCCCGAGAGCCAGGUUGCCAUUGCAACUUGGAAUCCUACAGGGGGUUGAAUGGCUGGAACAGCCUGGGCUGUACUGGGGACCGAGGAUCUGAAGGGAAAGAGCCCCACGGCUCCCUGCCCGGUGUUGGCGUGUGCCCACAGUGUCCUCCCGCGAAAGGCAAGAAGACACUGGCAACCCAGUUCCCCCAGCUUUCAUCGGACCCUGAGGGCCCUGCCCAGGAAGCCAGGGGACGCAAGGCGUCCUCGCUCGCGCCUUUCAUCCCUAGAUCUCCAAGCAAAGGCGGGUUCAUCACCCCAAUGACGCUGCCCUUUGUGAGCUGCUUUCAUGUCGGCCGCCGGGAGCGCAGGCUCAGCAAUAAGCCCAGGGAGGCGACAUGACAGGCGCCCGGCCCAGCCCGAGUUUAUAAGGCAGCUCAUGGGCGCUGCAAAUCAGCAAUCUACCAGGAAGACAGCGGUCGGGGCCCAGCCCUUUGUGCAUGGCCUGGGCACGGACAGCGGGCGUGGGAGGGGCGAGGGCAUCGGCCUUUCCGGUUUGCCCGAUCCCGGUGGAGUGGGAGCCCAGCCCUUCCUGCAAGAUCCAGACCUCGGUACCAGACACUGCUCGCUUCCCCUCCUCGAUCCCGGGUCAUCUCCUGCAUCGCUGCCCACGGCCAGGGCGCUCCUCACCCUCACCCAUCAGGUCCUGGGACCCUCGGUACCCAGCGCUGAUCAGCUGUACUCACCGUGCUGCGCAGGCAUCGCCGGGUUACCUCGGGGCUGCGCACCCCGGGGAUGGCCACGUGGCGGCCGCUCCGCUCGUCCCAGCACGCGGUCCGAAGCCCUGGACGAGGCCGGAGGAGCAGCGCAGGGCCAGCACACUCCUGUGCACGGGCUGCAGCCCCGGCCCCACGGAAGAGGAUAGGGAACAUCUGGCGACUCAGGGAUUGCGUGAACGAAGCGUUCCUAUACGAGGGCAACCUUUGGGCCUCUGAGACCCCAAAACAGCGGCCCGCCUCCGGGAGCCUAGAACCUUCGGCGCUCGCGCCCAACCAGGCCCCUUCCCGGUUGGCAUCUCCCCCGCCGGCCUCUGGGGG